GGCCGUGGUCAGGGACAGCCAGCACGGCUUCGCCGAGGAAAAGCGUUUUCCGUGUGUGUCAAACCCCGGAAGGACGUGGAGGCUGCCACGGGCGCAGGUUCUGCGUGUCCGGCGGGUCCUGACCGCAGCAAGCUCUGCGGGUUGACCGCCGGGCACGGACGCACAGCCACACGGGAAGAGCACGGCUAAGUCGCAAGCAGAAAUGGUGAAAUGCACAGCAAAAACUCUGUAAAGCUCUCAGCAGGCCUCAGCCGGGGGGCAAAAGGACAGUGUACGGUUCAGAAGACACUACCUACCCGACUUACGUCCUGAGGAAGAGCCCACCCUGUAAAUCCAAGGAGAUCCAAGUCGGGCUCAUAGAGGCUUCUAUGAGACACACGUGGAAGUCUGAGGUGGAAGCACGACCCUGGAUUCAACUAUUUAACAUAUACCGUGGAAUGACCCGUCGGUGCCGGGCGGUGCGGAGCCCGAAGCCCCGGUGCAGCUCACGAGCCUGGAGGAGCCGGCGCGCCCAGCGGGAGAAGGCACACAUGGCUGGAGAGCAUGCGCAGAGGGCUGGAGGAGCAUGCGCACACGGCUGGAGAGCGCGCGCAGAGGGCUGGAGAGCACGCGCACACGCCUGGACGAGCCAGCGAGAAGCCAGCCCGCCCGGCUGGAGAGCGUGCCCGCCUGGAACGAGCACGCACACGUUUGGAGAGCACGCUCUGCUGGAGAGCGCGCGUGCACGGCUGAACCGGCCCCGAGUCAGGCACCUGGACACAGGUGACAGCAGGCCCCGACGUGUCGGUGCUGGUGGGACUGCACUUCCCGUUCCGGCUGCACUUUUCAGAAGCACGUGGACAGAAGAGCGGUUCCAAACAGGCUUCCUCCCCCCAGCAGCCCGCACCUGCCUGCGCCUGCUGCGCCUGAGCCCACAGAUCUUGUUUUUAUUUCCACGGGAGCUCCUAAAGAUGCCUGUUAAUAUUGCAACUUUCUGGUCAAGAAGCUCACGUCUGAUAAAGAGUCUUUGGGCCACGGUCUCUUAAGUCAGCCUAAGGGAGUAACUCUAAAAGUGGAGAUACCAGGCUUCAUAGAAGUCUCAUCAGGGGCACCGUGAGGGCCGCCUCACGCUCGCUGAACCUCAGAUGCUACGUCUUGAAGAACAGAGUCGUGGGAGUCGAGAGUUGAAUCAACAGCCUGGGCUCAUAGUUUGUUGACAAAUUGAUUCUGUAGAGACAUCCAAUGUGAAUUCGCGAAAGGUCAAGGAAAAAUCUGUUUGUUUUUCCAUUUAUUUGUGAACACUCAAAAGUAAUUUUUCCAAGGGAGGAAAGCCUGAUCUGUUCCAUGACUUCCUCAAGGGCGCCUCGUCUCACCUGAGACAAGAAUAAAUGGCCGUGUUGGUCAUCA
rnacentral:lncRNA from 1 species